rnacentral:rRNA from 1 species
UACGGAGGGUGCAAGCGUUGUCCGGAAUCACUGGGCGUAAAGGGCGCGUAGGCGGCUCAUGAAGGCUGUGGUGAAAGUCCGGGGCUCAACCUCGGAUCGGCCGUGGCGACUCGUGGGCUGGAGCACUGUAGAGGCGGGUGGAAUUCCGGGUGUAGCGGUGGAAUGCGUAGAGAUCCGGAAGAACACCAGUGGCGAAGGCGGCUCACUGGCCCGGUACUGACGCUGA